AUACGGAGGGUGCAAGCGUUGUUCGGAAUCACUGGGCGUAAAGGGCGCGCAGGCGGUUUGGUAAGUCAGAUGUGAAAGCCCACGGCUCAACCGUGGAAGUGCAUUUGAAACUGUCAGACUUGAGUACCAGAGGGGAAAGUGGAAUUCCCGGUGUAGAGGUGAAAUUCGUAGAUAUCGGGAGGAAUACCGGUGGCGAAGGCGACUUUCUGGCUGGAUACUGACGCUGAGGCGCGAAAGCGUGGGGAGCAAACAGGAUUAGAUACCCUAGUAGUCC
rnacentral:rRNA from 1 species